AGGUGUAUUCUCUCAAGUUUGGCCCCAGCAACAAAUCACAGGCCGAGUUUGGGUCUGUGUAUAUAGGUCCAUUUGGGCCGGUGUAUGGCGAAAUUGAAACUUAGUCUUGUCAAGAAAGUUUCGUCCAGAUUUUUUCCCGAGGCUGCAGGCCGAGGGUCACACUCAAGAUAGAGGACAUAGUUUUUCUCAAUAUACACCGACCUAGGCCGAUAAAGAACUGACAUGUUUAGGUUUUCCUGUGGUAGACUGGUUUGUAAAUUGGUAACUUAUUAAACAAUUAUUUGUCGUUGAAUCAGCUUACGUACCGGCAAUGUUAAAUUAAAUAACAGAUUUAUUUCUAACUACUUGAUAUUAGUUCCAUUUAGCUCACGAGUUGAGUUCUCGAAAGUUGUUCUUCGGUGUGAAAAUUCCGCCCGUAACCGGGACCAAUCAGGUUACAAGAUUUGUUGAAUUGAAUUCCGCCCGCUUAAGAACUGUGAAUAAAAUUACCAGCCAUCUUGACCACCUAGCAAUGAAAUAGCAGGUGAGCUUUUGCACGAAAAUAUGAUAUCUCCAGUAGCAAAAGAUAACCGUUGCUAUGGUUCCAUAAUAAAUCGCGCCUUUUGCAACGAAAAUGGAAUGGUUUGGUAUUUCAUUGGUGUUUAUGUAAUAAAUAGAACAUUACCUGGCCUUCUGGAGAAACGAUACUUUUCUUCUCGCGUUGAAAAAUAUUUCACUCGUGCGCUGCACUCAAAUAUUUUUCAACACUCGAAAGAGAAAUUCCGUUUCUCCGCGCGGCCAUGCAAUAUCCUUUGCAUACUACGUAUGUUAAUAUGUUACUAUUGAGAUUUUUUUGAACAGCAUAUUUCCACAGUUUGUGACAUAUUUGACCAAAUGAAGUACCUAAAAUUUAAGUUAUCCAAAUCUCUAAAAAUUGUUGAUUAAUCUUCGAUUAGUCGUGGUCAGUUCAGAGUCCCAAUCUAAACCUGGAUUUAUCUGUAAAGUAGGUCUGAUCUUCAGCAUUUUUGAUACUGAGUUAAAGGGGCAGUACUAUCAUGAUAAAGACUUUGAGAGGUCAAAAGUGAAAAGACAUUGUUCGCUGAUGGAAGCCUUGUCAAUAACCAGUAUAUUUUAGAAGUCAUUCAACUCGACACAUUGACUGAAGCUAUUAUAAUGGUUUUAUCAGACGUCACGUACAUUAAUUUGAUCUCAAAUGCCACUAAAACGUUACUAAAGUUUACUUUCCCUAAAGAAUCCAAGCCUGUGUUAUAGUGCCCGGUAUACUUUUCGUCUUGCAAGCUAUAAGCGAAGGAAGUGAGCGAAUAAUUUUGAUUUUCCCCUAUAGUAAGUAUCCUGAGUCUUCCUAAGGCUGUCAGUCUUUCGGCUGCUUACGUUUCAAACAAGCAAGUAUAGCAGUUCUUCCAAAAAUGGGGAAAAUAGCUAGUGUUAUAUAAAAACGUACUUGUAACUUUUACAGAGAAGGUUGAAAACACAGAGGAAUCAAAAUUUUCCAUAGAAAACAUUACAGACUUGUCAUAAAGUAGAGUCUGAAACAGCCAUGUUUACUUUUGUAAAGAAGUGCUGUGCGAUGCUGGCCAGCUAUACAGAACUUAACACGGUUAUAUUAAUCGCUAUCAAAUGAAAAGACAGAUUUUAAGAAUUGAUACUUGAGGGUUUCAUUAGUGACCCUUUCUUUCUGUUUGUUUGUCCAUUGUACAGAAUACCUCGUUCUAGAGGUUUUGCGAAACAGGAUUUUUAACGCUAAGGUGAUAAAUUCGUUAUCACAAGUGACACUAAGAAAUUUACAUAAUUUAUGCAGAGUCUCCCUCGGCUUUGCAAUCAUGUCGCGGCUGUAAACAUCGAGGAUUGGAUAUUUGGACAUCUCGUGAAGCUUUUGGACUGUUUCAGCUCUAAGGAAAUAUGUGUCGAUGCAGAAGUCCACCGAUUUUCUGAAAAGGGAAAGAAAUACACCGCUCUCAACAGGGAGACAAAAGUCUUCUUUCGGAUGUCUAAAAAAUGCCCGAGUGAUAUUCCCCAAUUUUCAAAACCGCGCGUGUUGCGAAAAAUGCUUGAAGGAUAAUAAUCACAAUAGCCUCCAUUUGGCGCGAUAAUAUGCUAGGAUGUAAAUAUGCUCUUCAAGAAAUAUAUAAUUGUGCUCGAAAAAAUAUAUGCUUCUCGAAGCUCUCAGUUUUACUCGAGCCACGCUCUCGGAAAACUGUUUCGCUUCUCGGAACAGAUAAUGUUCGCGGACAAAUAUCCGAGCAUAUUUCCGCGCCAAAUGGAGGCUAUCGUUUAUUUAAAGUGUUAAGCGGCAAAAUUACGAUGUCUGACUCACUUGAUGUUUUUUUCUAUGUUCCUGUACAGGCAUAUUGUAGCGAUGUUGUCGAACGGAUUUCUGAUAACAUGAAUUAGUUUAAUUGGAACCACUACUGUUUGUUGCAGCUCCUGUAGACGUUGAAGUCCUUGUGGUGUGGCGAGUACUUUAUUUGGUCCGCUCCCUUUUUUGUCACCAAUUACCUACGUUAAUGGAGGUCGAACUCGUGUGGAAUGAUUAUUUCUGGAUGAGAGUCCAAAAUGGCGCCUAUAAGACUGUGGCCACUUCUAGGAUAACCAACAAACAACACAAACGAUUCAACGGCAUCGUACGGAGAAUUGCGCUUGAGGUCCAGUUUCUCUGGAAAGAAGAACAAGUAGCUCAAAGAUCUUUUCUAGUACUUUACCAAAGCAGGGAAGGACAGAGAUUGGCCUAUAAUUAGUGCAUUCAUUCGUUCCACUGCUGUAAGCUGAUGAAGGUCUGAAGAUGGAACGUUUUUAAUAAAUGUGCAAUUUUUACACAUAGCCUCAGAAGUUAUCCGUCCAUUGGCCUCUUUUAACUCUUGUUUUUGUCUGCACUUGCCGUGGCUUGAACUUAGAAUCUUUUCAGGAUCCUUCUGAAUGCUUCACGUCGUCGUUGGCGCA